rnacentral:misc_RNA from 1 species
GAUGAAGAACGUAGCGAAAUGCGAUACGUAGUGUGAAUUGCAGAAUUCAGUGAAUCAUCGAAUCUUUGAACGCACAUUGCACCUCUCGGUAUUCCGGGAGGGAUGCCUGUUCGAGCGUCAUUUGUACCCUCAAGCUCUGCUUGGUGUUGGGUGUUUGUUCCGCCUCUGUGUGUGAACUCGCCUCAAAACAAUUGGCAGCCGGCGUACUUGUUUCGGAGCGCAGCACAUUUUGCGAUCCAGAUCAACGUACAGCGGCAUCCAAGAAGCCUUAUUUAACGCUCUUGACCUCGGAUCAGGUAGGGAUACCCGCUGAACUUAAGCAUAUCAAUAAGCGGAGGA